GAAAUGCGAUAAGUAAUGUGAAUUGCAGAAUUCAGUGAAUCAUCGAAUCUUUGAACGCACAUUGCGCCCGCUAGUAUUCUGGCGGGCAUGCCUGUUCGAGCGUCAUUUCAACCAUCAAGCCCUGCUUGUGUUGGGGACCUGCGGCUGCCCGCAGGCCCUGAAAAACAGUGGCGGGCUCGCUGUCAUCCCGAGCGCAGUAAUUCUAAUAUCUCGCUUUGGGCGUGCGGCGGGCACCCGGCCGUUAAACAAACCAAAUCUUAACGCAAGGUUGACCUCGGAUCAGGUAGGAAUACCCGCUGAACUUAA
rnacentral:misc_RNA from 1 species